UGUACAAUUUCUUCAAAGCAAACCUUUUCUUAUACCUACACCUUCUGCUAUAUAUACGAUGUUUUUUAAUCAUCUUGCCCAAGUUUUCUAAUCCAUAUUUUCCAUAUCAGUAUGCAUUCCCAUGGAGUGCUCUUGCAGACAAUUAGUUGCGAAAGAGCAAUAUUUCGAAAUCAUUGCCCUAUCUGUUUUAUGAUGGAGAUUUGUCAAAGCUGUCAUGCUCUCUCCUUCGCCCCUUUCUAUGGCAUGUAUUGGGAUAAAGCAGGCAGCUGAUGAUGCUGGUCAUAGUCUCCAUCAAUGGCUGAUCUUAUCAAUGAUUUUAUUUUUUGGGACAAGAUAUUGACUUUUUUGUAAGACUUGGACAAUUUCUUUGAUGUUUUUAUUCUUAACUUUUUGUUUUCUUUCAGUUUUGUUUAAUUUUGAUUUACCGUGUUAUCUUUGUCUCAGGUCUAUGGUCAUCCUUUCUUUUAUAACUUUCAUCCUACCUUCAAGGUAGCACUUAUUUCUCUUUAAAAGAUGUUACAGGUUCCGCGAGGAUGAAUCACAAAAAUAUGUGAAGAUGUAUAGUGUUGUAAUUGAUGUUACCACUGUGCUAUCUCAUCCCCAUCCUAUAGGCAUGUACAUCAUUGACAAUGAAAUUUUGCCCUCUGAAGCGUUGAUUGAUGUCUCCCUGAAUUUUUUUUUUCAUUCUGCUUUAGUUCUUUCAUCUCCCUGGAUUUAUUCUACAGCAUGUCUUCUUGCUUAAUCCAGUUUAUAAUUAGCUGUUACUUUCAAAUCGAUGUCCUCCCCUAACCCUGUUUUGGAUUUUUUUUCUAUUUCCUGUUUUCUAAUUUUCAUUUUUAGGUUCUAUUACCAUUGAAAGAGAAGAUGAUUUUGAAUAUCAGAGCUUUUGAAAAAUGGGAAUUUUCUGUUGGAGGUGGAAAUCAUGCGAUCUGGUUUUAGCUCACUCAGAGUAACAACGAAUGAUAGAUUUAAGAAUCCACAUUGAUUUAUGAAGCAAAAUUUUGUGCGUAUCUUGAGUACUUUGACAACAAGUGAUCUGAGGAAGUUGUACACUAUUAUAUCAAAAUUUCUCCAUGAUCCUUAGCUACUCUGAGGAAACAGCAGAAAUUUAGCAUAGCUCUAGAACUCAUGUUAUGGAGAGAGAAUGCUUUGAUCUCUAUUUCAUAUAUUGGUUUGAAGUUUUAAUGCAAUUUACUGCUACAACAUUUCAAGCUUCAUCUCUGACAUGUUUAUCUUGGUAAAAAAAAGCUAAAUUAAGAGGUGAAUUUAGUGUAGGACUAUUUCUAAUCAUGAGUUUUCAAGUGGGGUUACUUAUUUUCCUAUUCAUCAAAGUGAAAGAAAAUUUGUGUUAUGA